rnacentral:rRNA from 1 species
UACAGAGGGUGCGAGCGUUAAUCGGAAUUACUGGGCGUAAAGCGUGCGUAGACGGUAGCGUAAGUCAGAUGUGAAAUCCCUGGGCUCAACCCAGGGCCUGCAUCGGAAACUGUCGGGCUUGAGUAUGGGAGAGGUGAGUGGAAUUUCCGGUGUAGCGGUGAAAUGCGUAGAUAUCGGAAGGAACACCUGUGGCGAAAGCGGCUCACUGGACCAUUACUGACGCUGAGGCACGAAAGCUAGGGGAGCAAACAGG